rnacentral:lncRNA from 7 species
AGGGAGCAGGCCGCUGUCGCAGCCGACUUUCAGGAUGGGGAGGUUGCAAUCCUAAACCAUAUGCCCAGGCCUUGCAUUAUGCAGGAUUCUGCUGAUUGCUGUUCAGAAACGGUGCUGCGUUUCAGUGUAGGUUCUUGAAUGAAGAUAACAAGAUGGCGUCUUGUAGAUCUCUUCUGCUUAGUUGGCUCCUUUAAAGCGCAGGAGUACAGCAUGCUGCUCGGGUUCAUGGAAAAUAGGGGUGACCAGCAUUCAUUGGCUACUCAGCCACGUGUUUGGUGGCUCCUGCACUGGGAAGCUUUUGUACCACGUUUUGGGUCCUUAUUUGAGGAACUGUGUAAAUGUGCAGUGACAUCUCUGGGAGCUGCUUGCAACAUCUGCCAAAAAAACAGCCCCAAGCUCAGCCAUCCUUGAGGCGCCUGGCUGGAAGGUGCUGAGCUGGAGAACAAACUCUUCAGUAGAAGAAUGAUGCUUAUUUUAUUUUAUUUUUUGUGAAACAUACUCAUUUUGUUCCUAGCUUAGACACAUGGUUUUAAU